UUUCGCCCCUCGCUCCCUCCCUCCCUCCUUCCCUCCGCCGGAGAGUGAGCUAUGUUGGUGCGGCAGCAGAAGCCUUUGCUCUUCCACCACUCCAUCCCCAUCUCCAUCUCCGUCCCCAUCCACCACGAGCACGGCCUUUUUCCCUCCUCCUCUGCGCUCCUAGGUUAGGAGGAGGGGCUUUUCAAAGGGGCGAGCAAAAGAGAAAGUCCUUGCAUACCCCAACAAGGCAACCCGCUGCUGCCUUUUUCUCGCUCCCCCCUCCCUCUCCCUCUCUCUCCUCUCCCCCUCCCUCUCCCCUGCUUUCUUGUUAUCUUCAGCCCAGCCAACGAGAGCGGAGCAGAGCAGGGCAGAGGGAGGCGUAGGGGUGGACCGAAACGUCGGACAGCAAGCAGGGAGGAAGGGAAGACGGCCGGCAUGUGGGAUCUCAAUGACUCGCCGGCCGCCGAGGCGGCACACGCGCCGCUGUCCCCCUCCGUCGACGACUCCGGCGCCUCAUCCUCCUCGGCCGCCGCGGUGGUGGAGAUACCCGACGACGGCGAGGACGACUCCGCCGAGGCCGUCGUCACGCGCCAGUUCUUCCCCCCGGCCGCCCCGGGCGAGGGCGCCGCCGGGAACGGCCGCGCGGCGUGGCUCCGCCUGGCCGGCGCUCCCGCGCCCGCCGUGGCCGCAGCUGCCGCGGCCGCCGCAGGAGGAGGAGGAGGAGGAGGCGGAGGCCCCGCGGCGUCGGCGGCGGCCAAGAAGAGCCGGCGCGGGCCGCGGUCGCGCAGCUCGCAGUACCGCGGCGUCACCUUCUACCGCCGGACGGGCCGGUGGGAGUCGCACAUAUGGGAUUGCGGCAAGCAGGUCUAUCUGGGAGGAUUCGACACUGCUCAUGCGGCGGCUCGGGCGUACGAUCGGGCGGCGAUCAAGUUCCGCGGCAUGGAGGCCGACAUCAACUUCAGCCUGGAGGAUUACGACGACAUCAAGCAGAUGGGCAACCUGACCAAGGAGGAGUUCGUCCACGUGCUCCGGCGGCAGAGCACGGGGUUCCCCCGGGGCAGCUCCAAGUACCGGGGCGUCACGCUCCACAAGUGCGGCAGGUGGGAGGCGCGGAUGGGCCAGUUCCUCGGCAAGAAGUACGUCUACUUGGGGCUGUUCGAUACCGAGGAGGAAGCCGCCAGGUCGUACGACCGCGCGGCCAUCAAGUGCAACGGCAAGGACGCGGUGACAAACUUCGAUCCCAGCACUUACGCCGAGGAGUUCGAGCCCACGGCUUCGGCCGGCGACGCCGAGCAGAACCUGGACUUGUCGCUGGGGAGCUCCGCGGGGUCCAACAAGAGGGGCAGCCUCGACGGCGGCGACGACGACGGCGCGGCCGGGCCCGACCAGCGCGUCCCCAUGGCCUUCGAGCUCGACUGGCAGACGGCGGCGGCGCGGAGCACCAAGGCCAAGUUCGACCAGAGCUUCACGCAUCACCAGAUGCCCCCUCCGCUCCUGCAAGCCUCCCACAUGCCCUUCAGUCCCAGGCAUCACCAAUUCAUGGGCAACGGUGAUCCGGGGACAGCGGGAGGCCCGUCGCUGACGGUCGGCGCCGGCGGCGGGGGCGGGCACUGGCCCCUGCCUCCGCACCACCAAUACCAGCCGCCGCCGCCUCCGCAGCAGCAGCAGCAGCAGCAGCAGAGGCUGCAUGGCUGGGGCAACGUCGUCCCCGGCACGAGCUGGCAGCCGCCCCAGCCGCCGCCGCACCACCAGGCGGGGCCGCCGCCGAACAACGCUGCCGCCGCCGCAGCAGCAGCCGCAGCAUCAUCACGAUUCCCACCCUACAUCGCCACGCAGGCGCAGAGCUGGCUCCAGAAGAACGGGUUCCACUCGCUGGCCCGCCCCACCUAGGUACCCGGAGACCAUCCGUCGAGAGCAGCCAGCGCGCGCGUCCAUCCAUCCAUGAUCCAUCCAUGGCGAAGGUCGAUCGACAGGUGUGUGUGUGUUCCACCGAACCAGGCGAAAUCACGGAGGAACAUCAACCAUUAUUACCAGCAGAACUGAGCUGAGCUGAACUGAACUGAACUGAGCUGAACUGAAACUUGAUUUCUUUUUUCAGUUUCUUGUUUUUAUUUCCUUUGAUUGAUUGGGCGAGCGAGAUGGAUUUGAGAGGACGGAUGGCAGUCAUGUAAAUGCGGAGUUCCCAAGAAGACGAGAGAGAUUGGUCCUAGCUACUUACUAGCUUUUCACUCGGAAGUUUCAACUCAAGUG
rnacentral:rRNA from 1 species